rnacentral:rRNA from 1 species
GACGAACGCUGGCGGCGUGCUUAACACAUGCAAGUCGAACGGAAAGGCCCUGCUUUUGUGGGGUGCUCGAGUGGCGAACGGGUGAGUAACACGUGAGUAACCUGCCCUUGACCUUGGGAUAACUUCAGGAAACUGGGGCUAAUACCGGAUAGGAGCUCCUGCUGCAUGGUGGGGGUUGGAAAGUUUCGGCGGUUGGGGAUGGACUCGCGGCUUAUCAGCUUGUUGGUGGGGUAGUGGCUUACCAAGGCUUUGACGGGUAGCCGGCCUGAGAGGGUGACCGGCCAGAGGGGGGGAGAGAUGCAGGCGGGGCGGCUACGUGAGGCAGCAGCGGGGGAUGUGGCACAAUGGGCGGAGGCUUGAAGCAGGAACGCCGCGGGCGGGAUGAGGGACGUCGGGUUGUAAACAGAGAGCGCCGGUGACGCAACGUGAGAGAGGGUGAGGGAUAAGGGAGGACCGGCUAGCUACGUG